rnacentral:tRNA from 1 species
GGAGAGAUGACCGAGAGGCCGAAGGUGCUCGCCUGCUAAGCGAGUGCGGGGGGAAAACUCCCGCCGAGGGUUCGAAUCCCUCUCUCUCCG